UGUUAACAGGGGACACGGUCGGGGUCCAGGUUUAUGAUGAUUGUGACCCUGUCACUUGUUACCAUGGCUUCUCUGCAGGUAUUCAGGUAAUGGUUGGUUCCUUACCAUUCUUAAUACCAUGAACUUUCAGUUUUCAUGCUUUAGAGAGUAUCUUUAACUCUGUGACUCAUGAGCAAUUACACAUAGCAGGUAUUGAUUAUGAUUGCUCAAGCACAGUAGUGAUCAUGGAAUUUCUGCAGGUAUCUUGUAAAGAAGUGUUAUUUCCUGACAAGGGUCAUGCCCUAGGAGAACUGCAAAUAUUCAAGUAGAGUUGAUCAUAAUGCUGUCAAUGACGGAGCUUGUUUGCAAGUGUCCUAGUAGAGUAAGCUAUGUCCUUUUAUACGUGUAUCAUAAUGUGCUUUUCAGGUUCUGCCUAGAGAUGAAUAUUCAUUCUGAUGGUCAUUCUCUGGGGACAUUUCUUUGUCUGGUAGGUAAUGAUGUGCACCUUUCCCAGCAGACAUUGCAUCUUCUCAUAUCUAGGUCUCUGUUCGGAUUGACUAAAUUUACUUAUCAUGUGGAUUUUUUCAGGUAAUCAGAUAAGAAAUGAUAGUAUUUUUACCAAUGGUAGCAAUCCUGAUAUGCUGCUGUUUGCAAUUUUAGAAAAAAAAUGUAUGCUUACUCAUGGGAGUGUUCAGUGGCUCUUGAAUAUCCACAUCAUGAUGGUGGAAUUGUGUGGCACAGCAGUAACCAUGGUGCUUUUGCCAGGGGGCUGGGAGGAGACGCUGGCGUGUCGAACUUUGGCACAAAGCUUGGAGUCCUGCAUGAAGCCAGAGAGAACCGAUGGGUCCUACAGUGAUGGCUACACACAGGGUUAUUUGAAGAGUCCUAGUAGAAAUUGUGCCUCCAUACACAUAACUGUCACAAGGGGCUCUUUGCAUUCUAGUCAAGAAAUCACAGUGAAUCUGAAAAUGAUCCUGAAUAGGCCUUUGAUGUCUCCAGAUAUUCAUUUCAGAAAUUAAUCACAAACUUGUCAGAUUCCCUGUUGUGGCUCAGUGGUAAUGAACCUGACUAGUAUACAUGAGGACUCAUGUUCGGUCCCUGGCCUCGCUCAGUGGGUUAAGGAUCCGGCGUUGCUAUGGUGAGCUACAGUGUAGGUCGCAGACAUGGCUCGGAUCUGUCGUUGCUGUGGCUGUGGCUUAGGCUGGUGGCUGUAGCUCCAGUUUGAGCCCUAGCCUGGGAACUAUGCUGUGGUUGUGGACCUAAAAAGACCAAGAAAAAAAGAAAAGAAAUGACUCAUAAACUUGUAAAUCACCUAUAUUUCAAUUAAAACUUUUAAAAAUGAAGAAAAAAGAAGUGACAUUGUUCCAACCAGUGUAGUAAGUAUUUUUCCCUCUCUCCCCCCUUUUUAGAAUUUUGAUAAAAUGUGCAUUUAAACUUAGUAGUGAC
rnacentral:lncRNA from 1 species